CGGACGGGUGAGUAAUGUAUGGGGAUCUGCCUGAUGGGGGGGGAUAACUACUGGAAACGGUAGCUAAUACCGCAUAAUGUCUACGGACCAAAGCGGGGGACCUCCGGGCCUCGCGCCAUCAGAUGAACCCAUAUGGGAUUAGCUAGUAGGUAAGGUAACGGCUUACCUAGGCGACGAUCCCUAGCUGGUCUGAGAGGAUGAUCAGCCACACUGGGACUGAGACACGGCCCAG
rnacentral:rRNA from 1 species